UUGCGUGUCCCCAGUGGACCCUGGCAGGAUUCUGAUCCAGACGUUUCUGACUUGAGCAUCCCUUCGGGCAGCACUCGACAAAACUCGGACCUGUGUGUCGUCUCCACUUCAUAGAUGAGGAAACCAAGGCCAGAGGUGAAUGACUUGCCUCAAGUCCCAGGGCCAGGAUUCUAACCAUUUGCUUCUAAGCUGCUGCUUCCACUGCAUGGGACCAGUCCCUUUCCUGUAACUAAAGGUGCUGGGUGGCAGAACUCUUCCCUCAAAUCUCUGGAGAAGGGAGUUCUUGCUAAGAUCCUUCAGGGAAUUCCCUGGCAGUCCAGUGGUUAGGACUCCACAGUGGUUGGGGAACUAAGAUCCUGCAAGUCGCGUGGCGUGGCCAAAGGAAAAAAAAAAAGAUCUUUCAAAAAUCCUUCCUGCCGCACUGAAACCUCUGUGCCUUCCUCAGAGGGAGCAAAGGUCAGCCUCUUGCGCAGAGACCGAGCUUGCUGCCACGCCCAGGCAUGAGCCGAGGAGCUCAGAGCAGGCCCAACCCAUCCCUUCUUCGUGACUUUCUUGUGCUUUCAGCAUAGGGCAGAGUUGUCUAACUCAUCCACUCCUUUCAGAGAGGAGAGAGCAAGCGCGCAUUUAUUCUUGAGGAUAUGAAACAAAGGAUGAUGAAACAAAAUGGAAUGAGAUGCAGGGAAACUAUUUAAAUGCGGGGUGGGGAGACGGAGCCACAACCAAAACCAGCUUCCGAGACCUGAAACCAGAAGGUGAGCCUCCUCAUGGCACCUUCCGCCCCUGCGUCCAGACGUCCUCCUGAGAAAGGACAGCCCACUUGCUGGCAGGGGCUCGUCGGGAACUACAGCUCCCAGCAGACACCGAGAGGGGACGCUGUGCCCCUAGGGCCCGCUCCAGAUUCCCAAAUAUGGAGAAGGACUGGGUUGGGGAAGAGGAACCGAGUGUUCCCCCUUGAGAGAGGGAGAGGGGGGAGGGUGAGAUCAGGAGCAUGUUGGCUGCUGGCACCUGUCCCAGACUGUGUCAGAUGGGGCCCCGUCCCCAUCCAUCCCAGCUCCCCACUGAAGCAGGGAGGGGCCACGAAACCUCAGCAACGGUCUAGAGGUGAGAAGUGAACUCAGUAUGAAAAAUAAGAUUUGUGCAAGCAAAGCACAGAGGUUGAGAUGAUCAGCAUUUAAGGGGAGGGGAGGCCUGGUGGGACGCGGCUGGUCCUGUCCCGGAGAGCUCUUGCAGGCAGGUUGGGGAGCUGGGCUGGAAGGUCAAGGAAGUUAGGUGUCCACGGCAAGUGCUCCUGACGUGCUCAAGGUUUUAAUAGAUUUCCACCGCAGGGUGUCUGCUUGGGGUCAGGGUUGGGGGUGAGUGCGAGACCCCGGGAAGUCCUUCCUGCUCUGGAAUUCCAUGCUCAGGGAUGGCUGUGGACUUCCGGGGACCCGAGUACCAUUCAUUGGAGCUAUUUUUGGUCUGCAGUAAGUUAGCCAGGCCGCGGGGCUGGGAAAGCGCUACCGCUGAAGGAGGUGAUUCACUGGGACAGGAUGCCCUGAGGCCACGUUGUGAGCCCCUGGGAUCCCAGAACAAGGGUCUCUAGUGUUUGGGACGCCCUGGGUUCAGGGGGUAAUCUCUGCAGGGCCUUCAGCAGAGAGAGGGCAGGGAGGGCCCUCAGAUGAAACGGCAGAGGCUUUUGAACUCCUUCUCCCAUACCUGACGUCAGCCCAUGAGCCAGGUUUGACUGCACAAACUAUCCCGCUGGGUGCUUAUUAGUAUCCCAUUUGACUGAGGCUCAGAAAGGUUAAGAAACUUGCCCGAGUUUACCAGGUAGCAAAUGCCAGAGCCAAAAUUCUAACCCAUAAAUCUGACAGCAAAGCAACUGCACCACAGCACUCCAUGCUUGAGGGCCCCUCCCAGAGGGACGGAGCCAGUGUGUCCCGGGGAGGGAGGGGGAUGCAUGGGAGAGGACUGAGCUCUCGGCGCCCAAGGGGCACACUGCGGCAUCCUGCGUUGUCCUUUCCUCCAACCCUUUCAUUCCAGCAGGGCCAGCGCUCAAAGGCUCUGCAGGAGAAGAGUUUGGACCUGAAGAGGUGUCCUGAGGCGGUGGACAGAGCUCUCGUCUGGGCAGGAGUGUCCUGGUUCUUUUUCUGGUUAAUGCAGGACAAGCUACUUACCCUCUGAUCCUCAGUUCCUUUAUCAAGGAAAGGCAGUGGGAUGGGAUAGAGGAAUUAGGAUGAGUAAAUGCCCACUGUACUGACCUCACUAAGUUACAAAGACAAAACGGAACCCUGAAUAAAUAAGUCACCAAAUAUAGUCAUGUUAUAAAAAUCCUAAGUUCUUAUCUAGUUGACUCUCCAGCUCAAAAUGUUUUGUAGAUAUAUUUUGGCGCUCAAAUGGCUCAGCCCAAGUCGUGAGGCGUCCUAGGGUUCUCUGUGAGUCUCUCUGGCCAAAUCACCCAAGGUCAUCCUCAAACCCUUGACUGGUUCCACUCUUGAGCAGCUGUUUACUUCUGACAUGAACAGCCUCAAUUCCACUUUCUGAAAAGUCAAAGAGCCCGGCUCUUUCUCCCCACUGGAACUUUGCAGAGUCCACGUCCAUAACUCGGAGUCCUUGGUCUGGUCACCCCCUUCAGUCCACGUCCAAAAGAGGCCACGGCUUGUCCACAUUGUAUCUUCACAGCUAACUCAGCGCACGGCACACAGCGGUGCUCGGCGAACUUUGAUGCAUACGUGAACUUUCCCCUGAUUUCUCCCCCCCCAUCCCCACUGAUGUUUUCAUUGCCAUGGAGAUGGGGAUAUUUCUGACCUCAUCCUUUGGGAGUACCACAGAGAUUAGCUAAUUAAUAAGGUGGGGAGGGCGAAGCUCUCCUGGCACUUAGUGUUUAACCGAAAUGGCUGGGAGACAGUGGUGAAACCCCAGGGCCUUCUCAGAGCAUCGUGAAGACACACAGUGGGAGCCCUGACCCUUGAUGUUCGUUGCUCUGGGACCCUCCUCUCUUCUGUUGGCAGGCGUUCCCCCAGCGUCCAUCCUGGAGGCUGACCCCCCUACCAACUCCCCUGCACAGUGCCCCUCCCUCAGGGGAUCCUUCCUGCAGCUGUGCAACAGCUGGAGCCUUUGGGAGCCCCGCAGGGUCCAGAGGCCACAGUCACCUGCUGCCAAAGUCACCCCCCCGCACCCCCCACUUUCCCGUUUCCCAGAUCAGGUGGGCGGGGGUGGGGGGCACGGGUCCAAGGGUAUGAGGAAGGGCAGUUUACUUGGCUUUCCCCCGUGAUAGAAAAGUGAAUUGGAAUGGCCACUGGCAGUGAAUAAACCAGAGCAAAAGACCCAUGCCAGCUGGUGACCACUGGAAAAAAGCAGCAAAUUCAUGAAUUACCCUAUUUACACCAGAAAUAAACUAAUAGUUUGGACCUUUGCUUGAUAGGUUGUGCUGGAAUUAUAGGCCGUUCAUGAAGACACAUGCGUGAAGCUGGUUUCCACCCCUCCUUACUCAUUGACGGCUUUGGCACCAAACCCUAAUGUUCCACUCCACCAAGCCUUGCUGGCAUCCUGGGUAAUCAGUGUCAGACAGACCAACCGUUUACAAACUGGGAAUCGCAACCCAUUAGUGUGUCAGGAAACUGAUUUGGAGGAUUGUGACUAGAUUCUUUUUUUUUUUUUAAGAAACAGUAUAGAAAUAAAAUAUCAGAGUACUUCACAUGUAGGAAGGGUAGUUUGGGGGUAAAAUGUUUAUUUCAAAGACAUGUAUGUUAUUAUAUGAUAACAUAUACUAAUAACAUAUUAUUUCAGUAACAUAAUACAUGUGUACUAGGUCAUGACAUCAAAUACACUUUUUAUUAUGGACCAUAGUCAAAAGUUUAAAAGGGAUAAGAGUAUGUAUAAAGGAAUACUAUUCAGCCUUAAAAGGAAAGGAAAGUCUGACACAGGCUACACUGUGGAUGAACCUCGAGGACAUUGUGCUCAGGGAAAUAAGCGAGUGACGAAAGGACAGAUACUGUGAGACUCCAUUUAUAAGAGGAGCUUAAAUAGUCACAUUCAUAGAGACAGAAUGUACAGAGGUGGUUGCCAGGGUCCAGAUGGGGGGCAGGGAGUGGGGAGUUCGUGUUC